UACGUAGGGUGCAAGCGUUAUCCGGAAUUAUUGGGCGUAAAGAGCUCGUAGGCGGUUUGUCGCGUCUGCUGUGAAAACUGGGGGCUCAACCCCCAGCCUGCAGUGGGUACGGGCAGACUAGAGUGCGGUAGGGGAGAUUGGAAUUCCUGGUGUAGCGGUGGAAUGCGCAGAUAUCAGGAGGAACACCGAUGGCGAAGGCAGAUUUCUGGGCCGUAACUGACGCUGAGGAGCGAAAGCAUGGGGAGCGAACAGG
rnacentral:rRNA from 1 species